rnacentral:rRNA from 1 species
UAGGGAAUCUUCGGCAAUGGGGGGAACCCUGACCGAGCAACGCCGCGUGAGUGAAGAAGGUUUUCGGAUCGUAAAGCUCUGUUGUUAAGGAAGAACGAGUGUGAGAAUGGAAAGUUCAUACUGUGACGGUACUUAACCAGAAAGGGACGGCUAACUACGUGCCAGCAGCCGCGGUAAUACGUAGGUGGCAAGCGUUGUCCGGAAUUAUUGGGCGUAAAGCGCGCGUAGGCGGUUUUUUAAGUCUGAUGUGAAAGCCCACGGCUCAACCGUGGAGGGUCAUUGUAAACUGGAAAACUUGAGUGCAGAAGAGGAAAGUGGAAUUCCAUGUGUAGCGGUGAAAUGCGCAGAGAUAUGGAGGAACACCAGUGGCGAAGGCGACUUUCUGGUCUGUAACUGACGCUGAUGUGCGAAAGCGUGGGGAUCAAACAGG